rnacentral:lncRNA from 1 species
GUCUCGGCCUUCUAUGUCGGUAUGAGCAUUCUCCAAGGAAAGGAUGACAUAUUUUUGGACCUGAAACAGAAAUUCUGGAAUACCUAUCUGAGUGGACUGAUGUACUGGCCCUUUGUACAGGUAAGUUCCGCCUACUCAGUAAUAUGAACUCAGGGCUUUGGUUUCCAUGUGGCCCUAACGGACUCUCUCUCUGUUCCAGCUGACCAACUUCAGCCUUGUUCCUGUUCAAUGGAGAACAGCUUACGCUGGAGUCUGUGGUUUUCUCUGGGCCACCUUCAUCUGUUUUUCCCAGCAGAGUGGUGACGGCACAUUCAAGUCAGCUUUCACCAUUUUAUAUACAAAGGGGACCAGUGCCACAGAAGGGUCCCCGAAGAAAUGAGAAGUCAAGGACUCUCUUAAAGGGACCACAUUUUUUACCUAAAAUGCACAGAAUUGCCUGCAGACAAAAUAUUUGAUGUGCCAAUUAUGCACUUCAUUUUGAGGAAUUACUACUAUUUAUAGACCCACUUUUUAAAAAAUUAUCAAUGAUUAUUUUUGAAUUGUAUUCAGACUUUUUUCCUGUUCUAGUCUGAAAUAUUAC